GGACGUGAGGGUGAUCUGGCUGCAAUAUCUGUCACCCCAUUGAUCACCAGGGUUGAUUCACCUGAUCUGGCUGGCUAGGUGGGUGUCCCCUUCCUCCCUCACCGCUCCACGUGCAUCCCUCACUUGGUGGAAGAGGACGACCAUCCCCAAUAGAGGAGGACCGUUCUUCUGUCAAGGGUAUAUGAGUAGCUGCGCUCCCCUGCUAGAACCUCCAAACAAGCUCUCAAAAAUGGCCAAUACAUAACUCAUUCUCUCUUAAAACCACUCUGGUGAGGUUUCUUCUUUGCUA
rnacentral:sRNA from 1 species